rnacentral:rRNA from 1 species
UACGUAGGGACCAAGCGUUGUUCGGAUUUACUGGGCGUAAAGCGUGCGCAGGCGGUGAUGGAAGACAGUUGUGAAAUCCCCGGGCUCAACCUGGGAACUGCAUCUGUGACUGCAUCGCUGGAGUGCGGCAGAGGGGGAUGGAAUUCCGCGUGUAGCAGUGAAAUGCGUAGAUAUCUGGAGGAAUACCGGUGGCGAAGGCGGCAUCCUGGACCAUUACUGACGCUGAGGCGCGAAAGCUAGGGGAGCAAACGGG